rnacentral:rRNA from 1 species
UUCUGUACAGUCAGGAGCUUAGGACGUGGUGCAGUCGAACGGCAGCGGGGGCUUCGGCCUGCCGGCGAGUGGCGAACGGGUGAGUAAUGCAUCGGAACGUGCCCAUGUCGUGGGGGAUAACGUAGCGAAAGCUACGCUAAUACCGCAUACGUCCUGAGGGAGAAAGCGGGGGAUCUUCGGACCUCGCGCGAUUGGAGCGGCCGAUGUCGGAUUAGCUAGUAGGUGGGGUAAAGGCCCACCUAGGCGACGAUCCGUAGCGGGUCUGAGAGGAUGAUCCGCCACACUGGGACUGAGACACGGCCCAGACUCCUACGGGAGGCAGCAGUGGGGAAUUUUGGACAAUGGGCGCAAGCCUGAUCCAGCCAUGCCGCGUGAGUGAAGAAGGCCUUCGGGUUGUAAAGCUCUUUCGGCCGGGAAGAAAUCGCACGCUCUAACAUAGCGUGUGGAUGACGGUACCGGACUAAGAAGCACCGGCUAACUACGUGCCAGCAGCCGCGGUAAUACGUAGGGUGCGAGCGUUAAUCCGAAUUACUGGGCGAAAAGCGUGCGCAAGCGGUUUUGUAAGACCGAUGUUAAAUCCUCGGGUUUAACCUGGCAUCUGCGCUCGCGAGUGCGCUGAUAUAGUACGACACUGGCGCGUGCCAGAUCCCUGUGUACCUUUCACCCUACGGGAAACGUGGCGGUGUCUCAUAGCUCACGCUAUCGUAUCUGAUUUGCUUGUAGCUCUUUCGCUCCAAGCUGGGCUGAGAGCACGAAGGGCGCCGUUCUUCCCGACCGCUGCCCCUUAUACUGUAACUAUCUUCUUGGGUACCACACGGAUAAGUACACCACUCUUUUGCCACUGUCAACACCCACUGGAAAACAAGAUUAUUACAGGGAGAUAUCGCGGGCAAUUCUUCAGAGUUCUUGAAGAGCUGCCCGUAACUACGGUUUACACUCGAAGAUUUGUCUUUUGAAUCUGCGCUCUGCAUGAUUUCACUUGCGUUCGCAACUAGAAUUAGGUAGCUGGUGCUUCUUUCGACCAAACCAGCACCUAGGCAGCAGGUGGUGUUUAGUCGCUUGCUAUCUCUCUGCUGAGCGAUGAAUUUAGACUCGCAACGAGAAUCUUCUCUUUUUCUAGUGGCUGAUUUCGUUUGCACUCAUACUCAAAUAUCCGGAUUUGCGACAGCAGGAGUGGGAGGAGGUCUGCCUACUACUUCUGCAGUAUGAGAGAGAAUCAGCUUCACAUAAACGCUGCUAAAAUGAAGAUCGCUGAGAGCUACAAGAGAAGUUGGUUUCUCUAUACUAUC